rnacentral:lncRNA from 1 species
UAGGCAUUCAAAUCGAAUUCAAUUACGUGGCUACAAGUGGCUAUACUUUUUCACAAAAAGAAUAAAUUAGUCGCUGUAUACCUAGUCCAUACAUCGUUGCCUAGGUAGGUACAUAUUGAUAUAUUAGUUAUUGAUGCACGACUGGUUAGGGUUAUCCCGCCAAAAGCCGUGACGCAGGGUUAUUGGGACUACCUAGGUAACCUCUAUAUCCACUUCUUAAUACUUGAACAAACAGAAAAGUUACGAAGAUGCCUCGAGAACCAUAGCCCCGAAACAGUUUGCAUGAUUAUGAGCUUAAAUCUUCAAUCCCGAAACAUCAUGAAUGAGGAUUUACUCCAAACAGAAAACUACGUAAGUCACGCAUGGAAUUAACUAUGUACUGAUAUCAUCUUCUAAUUCGAUUCCUUUCACAACCUCGACCUCAUUGCCAUUAUGCUCUGGAUAUGAUCUUGUGGUGCCUCAACCUAAGUAUGUAAAGUCUCAAAAGGAGCCUACUGUGAAACCGGAGACAUUCACCCAAAACAACCACGAUUUGAUUAAUUAUCUAGCUAGUAAUAUUAUAUCCCGGCUUAUUCGUGUACUUCUGGAUACCUAUUCAAGACUUCACACGAC